AGAGAUCACGACCUGAGCCAAAGGCAGAGGCCCCACCGAGUGAGCCACCCAGGCGCCCCAGUACUGAGCAUCUUAAGGAAUGGUAGAAACAAACAAGACUGGUAGAGACACAACUUGCCUUCAUUCCUGCCCUGCCCAUGAGAGAGAUUUUUCUAGAAAAUUUGGAGUUAUGGAAAAGGAAAACUCUUCACGGGGCAGGGGGGACUUCCUUUGAAAUGUCAAGAUCUCAAACAGGGAACCAAAAUCAAAGAAGGGUUCAUAUUAAAUCCAGAGUCAAGGCAACGAGCUUGGUGUCUCGAUGAUGGACAUGUGUGUAUAAACAACGGCGUAUAGGGAAUUACCUUAGCGGCUUUGGUAGGUCCCUGAGUAGGCAAACACAGCAGCCAGUGGGAUAUGAAGGUAUACCCAGUUCUGGUGGGGCAAGAGGGCAGCAAGAAUGCGGAGGCAGGAAAGCAUUAGAGAAAACUAGUUAUCUGGGCUAAUUGCAAAUCUGUAGCUCAUAAAUGGUGAGUCCUUCCUGAUGUGAGAUUAUUAUUUUUUUCUGUACUUUGCUCUGAUCAUAUUAUCUUAUACUCUAGUCAUCUGACUACAUUCUUUUGUACAUUAAAGGUAUG